rnacentral:lncRNA from 1 species
GAAAGCGGACUGCGCCUCGUGUAGCAGAGCAAACUUAAGCAAUUAAGCCGGACAGGUUUGAUUUAAGGAUUUAAUGUGUUUAGGGAGUGAGUAACAGCAAAUAGGCUAUUCUGUGUAAUGUUUUUUGUUUUAAAUGCUCCCAGCAUUAGUUAAAGUGCGUGAGAAACGUGCAAAAGGGACUGGUUAUCAGAUCAGGAGACAGUAGAUACUGUGAACGAACUUUUCAUCGAUGCGUAUAACGACGAUACAGAGGAUUUCCCGCUUUUGAAGCAUAUAUACUGUUUGGACCUGCCGAGGGGUUCGGGGGUUCCUAAAUACAGAGGAUUUGCUGCUGUGUACCUGCCGUGGGUGUCAGAGGCUGUCUACACACCCAAUUGAGUGCCCUAGAUCAGGAGAGCUCAGUGGAUUAAAGGUUUACAGCUCAACCUCUAAAGUCCCAUAUCUGGCUGAGGAGACUGUGGAUCAUCCAGAACAUCACCAGUGGAAAAAAGGUGUGAAUGCACCCUCAAAGCCCCUAAGUGAGGGAGUACAUGGAUGCUGGGCAUGAUGAAGCGCAAACCUUGAUGUGCAACACCACCUUAUGAAUCUACAGUAGUUACAUUAACAUUUAGCAGACUCUUUUGUCUAAAGUGACUUACAAUUGAGGACACAUUCAGCAAAUCAACAAGAAAAGCAGAUACACCCAAGAUGUGCUAAUUAUACAAAAAAAUUUAAGAAUUAAGAAUGCUUCUACAUGGAAUUAAGAAUGCUUCUACGUGGUUUGUCAAGCCCACACACCUGUGUGAAGCAGACUUCACGCACAAUGUUUUGGUUUUUAGAUAUAGGGAGUGGUGGUAAGAAAGUGUCUGGUGCAAAUGUGCAUAAAUGGUGCAAGUGUCAGAGAGAUGAAUGUGUGUAGCUAUUGCAUGUUCUGUGAUGGUUGGUAUAACUUAUGGUGUAGUGCUGAUCGUGUUACUUAGCUUUAAAAUGUUAAUCUUUCUUUGAACAACUGAAGUGUUAUCUGCUUUUACAGUGUAAAGAAGGUACAGUAUAGUUUACAAAAGAAGACUAUUCUAAGUAUGUUUUUGAUAAAUCAUUUGAAGGCAGAAUAUUAUUUUUGAAUGUUUUUUGUAAUAUGAAAAGUAUUAUUUUGAAAAGUGUAUUUUAUGAUGUUUUUGUAAGCAUAUUUUUGUUAUUUUUUAUUUUUUUUGUUGUUUUUUUUUAAAAAGCAAUAUAAUUAACUAACAAACUAACUAAAUAAUUAACUAAUU